GGAGACGUGGCCGAGUGGUCGAAGGCGCUCCCCUGCUAAGGGAGUAGGCGGUUUGUAGCUGUCUCGAGGGUUCGAAUCCCUUCGUCUCCGCCA
rnacentral:tRNA from 4 species